GAAUUGAAGCCCCAGUAAACGGCGGCCGUAACAAUAACGGUCCUAAGGUAGCGAAAUUCCUUGUCGGGUAAGUUCCGACCUGCACGAAUGGUGUAACGAUUUGGAUACUGUCUCAGCCAUGAGCUCGGUGAAAUUGUAGUAUCGGUGAAGAUGCCGAUUACCCGCAGUGGGACGAAAAGACCCCGUGCACCUUCACUACAACUUAGUAUUGACUUCGGAUAAACAAUGUGUAGGAUAGGUGGGAGACUUUGAAGCGGCAUCGCUAGGUGUUGUGGAGUCGUCCUUGAAAUACCACCCUUUGUUUAUUUGAAGCCUAACCUCGAAAGAGGGACAGUGCUUGGUGGGUAGUUUGACUGGGGUGGUCGCCUCCAAAAGAGUAACGGAGGCUUCUAAAGGUACCCUCAGCACGCUUGGUAACCGUGCGUAGAGUGCAAUGGCAUAAGGGUGCUUAACUGUGAGACCUACAAGUCGAGCAGAUGCGAAAGCAGAGCAUAGUGAUCCGGUGGUUCCGCAUGGAAGGGCCAUCGCUCAACGGAUAAAAGGUACGCCGGGGAUAACAGGCUGAUGGUGCCCAAGAGUCCAUAUCGACGGCAUUGUUUGGCACCUCGAUGUCGGCUCAUCGCAUCCUGGGGCUGGAGAAGGUCCCAAGGGUUUGGCUGUUCGCCAAUUAAAGCGGUACGUGAGCUGGGUUUAGAACGUCGUGAGACAGUUCGGUCCCUAUCUGCCGUGGGUGUCGGAAAAUUGAGAGGAGCUGCCCCUAGUACGAGAGGACCGGGGUGGACGUAUCUCUGGUGGACCUGUUGUUGCGCCAGCAGCAUAGCAGGGUAGCUAUAUACGGAAGGGAUAACCGCUGAAUGCAUCUAAGCGGGAAGCCCCCCUCAAAACCAGUUUUCCCUUGAGAGUCGUGGAAGACCACCACGUUGAUAGGCCAGAUGUGGAAGCGUGGCGACACGUGAAGCUGACUGGUACUAAUUACUCGAUUGUCUUGAUC
rnacentral:rRNA from 11 species